rnacentral:rRNA from 1 species
GGUUGUCGUCAGCUCGUGUCGUGAGAUGUUGGGUUAAGUCCCGCAACGAGCGCAACCCUUGAUUUUAGUUGCCAGCAUUUAGUUGGGCACUCUAAAGUGACUGCCGGUGCAAGCCGGAGGAAGGUGGGGAUGACGUCAAAUCAUCAUGCCCCUUAUGACCUGGGCUACACACGUGCUACAAUGGAUAGUACAAAGGGUCGCGAAGCCGCGAGGUGGAGCUAAUCCCAUAAAACUAUUCUCAGUUCGGAUUGUAGGCUGCAACUCGCCUACAUGAAGCCGGAAUCGCUAGUAAUCGUGGAUCAGCAUGCCACGGUGAAUACGUUCCCGGGCCUUGUACACACCGCCCGUCACACCACGAGAGUUUGUAACACCCGAAGUCGGUAGGGUAACCUUUAUGGAGCCAGCCGCCGAAGGUGGGACAGAUAAUUGGGGUGAAGUCGUAACAAGGUAGCCGUAUCGGAAGGUGCGGCUGGAUCACCUCCUUUCUAAGGAA